rnacentral:rRNA from 1 species
AUGGAGGCGCAGCCGCGGGAGAUCGCCGCGCAUCCUUCUUCCUCGGCGUCGGCGGCCGCUGCGUCCUCGUCCUCUCGUUCACGUAAUACCCCCAACCCCUACCUCGUCCUGGAGAGCGCCAUCGUGCAAGUAAUGGCCAACAGGACAUGUUCUGCUUCUGUCUCCUCACUCUUUGCUUCAUCUCGGCCACAAGGAUGGGCAGAGCUCCCGGACGACCUGCUCCGACCCGUUGUCGCUUUACUACGCUCGUUCCGCGACCUCCUCGCCUUCGGUACCACUUGUCGCCAUUGGUGUGAUCUCUUCUCAGGCCACAGGUCCUCUGUCCAGCCUCUGCUUCUCCACCCCAAUCUCCGUACCGACGGUGGACAGACUCUCUCGCAUAACUGUUGGACCUUAUUCCACAAAUGCACAUGGAGAUUGGCUGAUCCUGCUGCCACCUUAUCUUCUCGUAGUUUUCUUUCCUUGAGUGACCUCAGAAGCAUGACCUUUCUGCGCUGCUCCUACGGUCAGCUCAUCUUCUACCACAACAAUGGGUUCCAUAUUGUUAAUCCAUUCAGUGGCGCUAAGGUUGGCCCUCCUUCCCUCCGGUCAGUUCAGUUCACUUGUAUCAGCUAUGUCACCUUAACUGCUCCUGUUGCAUCCGCUGACUCGCAUAUCCUUGUCGGUGCUGGAGCCUAUCUGUUCCUGUGGCGCAUCGGGGGCGACUCUUGGACAAAACACAGUCCUAAAGUUGGUCGUUUUUCGAUUGAACAAAAUGUGGCCUUCAAGGGCAAGACAUAUGCCCUAGGGUCUUUUGGGUGGUUCUACAUCAUUCACUUGUCACCCAGUCUCAUUGUUGAGAAGUUUAAAGUUGUGUCCGAGGAAGAUAAAACCGAAGAUCUCUAUUCGGCAAAUGAAAAAGCAUGGCUAGUGGUGUGUGGUGACGCGCUUCUCUUGAUCAAACUUGUGGAGGCGGGAAGAAGGAUGCGCUCGGAGGCCUUCCAGUUCAUGGCCUUCAAGCUUGAGUCAGUGGACACCAUGACCAAGAAGGCAAGGUGGGUGAAGGUGAACAAGUUAGAUAACUGGGCCAUCUUUAUCAGCGUUGACGAGCGUGCAACUAUGGCAAAAAUGUUAUUACCGUUCGACACAGCUCUUCAACACUGGAAGACGGUACCUGAAAUUGGAGUCAACCUGGGUCUUCCCCGCGCGUUUCCUCGUUCCGGCCUGUGA